AGCCGGCCGCCCUACGGCGAGACCUUCUUCCGGCGCCCCACUGGCCGGGCGUCCGACGGCCGCCUCGUCGUGGACUUCAUCGCUGAGGCGCUGGGGGUACCUCACCCGACGCCGUACCUCGCCGGCAAGAGCGCGGAGGAUUUCCGGCGCGGCGUGAACUUUGCCGUCGGUGGGGCGACGGCGCUUGGCCCGGAUUUCUUCAAGAGCAGAGGGCUUGAGCCGUUUGUGCCCGUCUCUUUCAGAAACCAAGCCACCUGGUUCAAGAACGUUUUGAGUCAAUUGCAGAAAACUACCACAUUUGCGGCUAGGUUUGCGGAAAACCAUCAAGUCGAUAAUCCGUUGCAAAAAAACCGCGAUUUCACUGAACUCUUUGCAAAAAGCACUGAUCGGGUUAUUUGGCCAUUUGAUCAAUUUCUGACAAGUAGGGCCGGAUUGUAA
rnacentral:rRNA from 1 species